AAAUGUAUGAAAUGUAAGUCACUCUGGAUAAGAGUGUCUGCUAAAUGACUAAAA
rfam:Salmo salar isolate Sally breed double haploid chromosome ssa24, whole genome shotgun sequence.